AAGUUGGUUCAUUAAUGAUGGAAACUAAGAAAAACAUAGUCUUAAAAUGACAAUUAGAGGGUUCGAAUCCCUACCAACUGA
rnacentral:tRNA from 1 species